UACGUAGGGGGCAAGCGUUGUCCGGAUUUAUUGGGCGUAAAGAGCUCGUAGGUGGUUCGGUAAGUCGGAUGUGAAAUCUCCAGGCUCAACCUGGAGGGGUCAUUCGAUACUGCCGUGACUAGAGGUCGGUAGGGGAGUGUGGAAUUCCUGGUGGAGCGGUGAAAUGCGCAGAUAUCAGGAGGAACACCGGUGGCGAAGGCGGGUCUCUGGGCCGAUGACUGACGCUGAGGAGCGAAAGCGUGGGGAGCGAACAGG
rnacentral:rRNA from 1 species